UGGGGAAUCUUGGGCAAUGGGCGCAAGCCUGACCCAGCCAUGCCGCGUGAGUGAUGAAGGCCUUAGGGUUGUAAAGCUCUUUCGCCGGUGAAGAUAAUGACGGUAACCGGAGAAGAAGCCCCGGCUAACUUCCUGCCAGCAGCCGCGGUAAUACGAAGGGGGCUAGCGUUGUUCGGAAUUACUGGGCGUAAAGCGCACGUAGGCGGAUCGUUAAGUCGGGGGUGAAAUCCCAGGGCUCAACCCUGGAACUGCCUCCGAUACUGGCGAUCUUGAGUCCGAGAGAGGUGAGUGGAAUUCCGAGUGUAGAGGUGAAAUUCGUAGAUAUUCGGAAGAACACCAGUGGCGAAGGCGGCUCACUGGCUCGGAACUGACGCUGAGGUGCGAAAGCGUGGGGAGCAA
rnacentral:rRNA from 1 species